rnacentral:misc_RNA from 1 species
CGAACUGCGAUAAGUAAUGUGAAUUGCAGAAUUCAGUGAAUCAUCGAGUCUUCGAACGCACAUUGCGCCCCCUGGCAUUCCGGGGGGCAUGCCUGUCCGAGCGUCAUUGCUGCCCAUCAAGCCCGGCUUGUGUGUUGGGUCGUCGUCCCCCCCGGGGGACGGGCCCGAAAGGCAGCGGCGGCACCGUGUCCGGUCCUCGAGCGUAUGGGGCUUUGUCACCCGCUCGACUAGGGCCGGCCGGGCGCCAGCCGACGUCUCCAACCAUUUUUCUUCAGGUUGACCUCGGAUCAGGUAGGGAUACCCGCUGAACUUAAGC